GACGAACGCUGGCGGCGUGCUUAACACAUGCAAGUCGAGCGGUAAGGCCCUUUCGGGGGUACACGAGCGGCGAACGGGUGAGUAACACGUGGGUGACCUGCCCUCAGCUCUGGGAUAAGCCUGGGAAACCGGGUCUAAUACCGGAUAUGACUCCAUGACGCAUGUUGUGGGGUGGAAAGCCUUGUGCGGCUGAGGAUGGGCCCGCGGCCUAUCCAGCUUGUUGGUGGGGUGAUGGCCUACCAAGGCGACGACGGGUAGCCGGCCUGAGAGGGCGACCGGCCACACUGGGACUGAGACACGGCCCAGACUCCUACGGGAGGCAGCAGUGGGGAAUCUUGCGCAAUGGGCGAAAGCCUGACGCAGCGACGCCGCGUGAGGGAUGACGGCCU
rnacentral:rRNA from 1 species